AGUGAACGCUGGCGGUAGGCCUAACACAUGCAAGUCGAACGGCAGCACAGGAGAGCUUGCUCUCUAGGUGGCGAGUGGCGGACGGGUGAGGAAUACAUCGGAAUCUGCCCAGUCGUGGGGGGUAACGUAGGGAAACUUACGCUAAUACCGCAUACGACCUUCGGGUGAAAGAGGGGGAUCGCAAGACCUCUCGCGAUUGGAUGAGCCGAUGUCGGAUUAGCUAGUUAGCGGGGUAAUGGCCCACCAAGGCGACGAUCCGUAGCUGGUCUGAGAGGAUGAUCAGCCACACUGGAACUGAGACACGGUCCAGACUCCUACGGGAGGCAGCAGUGGGGAAUAUUGGACAAUGGGCGCAAGCCUGAUCCAGCCAUACCGCGUGGGUGAAGAAGGCCUUCGGGUUGUAAAGCCCUUUUGUUGGGAAAGAAAUCUUUCAGGCUAAUACCCUGGGAGGAUGACGGUACCCAAAGAAUAAGCACCGGCUAACUUCGUG
rnacentral:rRNA from 1 species